ACAUAUAUGUGUGUGUGUGUGUGUGUGUGUGUGUGUGUGUGUAUAUAUAUAUAUAUAUACACACACACAUACAUAUCUAUAUAUAUA
rnacentral:miRNA from 11 species